GGUGAACAUGAGGGAGAUUACAUUAACAGGAAAUCCUUCCACAGCAUCAAUGUUCAGAUGAUCUGUGAUGCUGACUGCCUUGUGAGCAAUUUAGAGGCAAAGUGGCCUGGCUCAGUGCAUGACUCUAGAGUCUUUCGGGCUAGUCCAAUUUACGAGAGACUUUCACAAGGUGAAUUCUC